UUUGCUUUGACCCCCUUGUUUUACUCGUAUCUAUUCUUAUUAUUUGCACUGACUUGUUCAAGUGUAUGUCUGUGUAAUCUGUAUCACCUCUCUCUUCCAGGAGGAGGAGGGUCCUGAGGUGCUUCUGGUGAAGGAAGAGAGGUGUGAGGAGGGUCUGGGGAACCUUGAGGGGACCAUGGUCAUGGAGGACAACAAGACUACACCUCCUCCUAAACCCACAGAGGAACCAGCUGAGCAGCACAGGACCACAUACAGUCUCGCUGAGUCAGUAGACAUGGAGGAUAGGAAGCCUGAUCUCCUGCUAGUCAGAGGAGACUAUAGAAGACGGACCAGAGAGCAUUGAUCUGCUAAGUGAACUAAAGAUGGGGGAACAAGGUGUGAUCCAUAUGGUCAAGUGCUGCAGAGCUCAGACUUGAACCUGAUCAAACAUCUCUGGAGAGACCUGAAAAUAGAUGUACAGCAACGCUCCCCAUCCAACAUGACAGCGCUUGAGAGGUUCUGCAGAGAGGAAUGGGAGAAACUCCCCAAAUACAGGUGUGCCAAGCUUGUAGCGUCAUCCCCAAGAAGACUCGGCUGUAAUCACUGCCAAAGGUGCUUUAACAAAGUAUUGAGUAAAUGGUCUGAAUACUUAUGUAAAUGUGAUAUAAAUUAGCAAAAAUGUCUAAAAACCUGUUUUUGUUUUGUCAUUAUGGGGUAUUGUGUGUAUAUUUAAUCAGUUUUAGAAUAAGGCUGGAAUGUAACAAAAUAUGGAAAAAGUCAAGGGGUCUGAAUACUUUCUGAAUGCACUGUACACACAAAACGUACGUCACAUGGGGGAGAGGUGCUGAGGAGUGAUUUCCAUCUGGCCACUACCAUAAAGGCCUGAUUGGUGGAUGUCAGUACAUACACCCAAAAAGUAGGUCACAUGGGGAGAGGUGUUGUGCUGUGAGG
ensembl:lncRNA